UACGGAGGGGGCAAGCGUUAUUCGGAAUCAUUGGGCGUAAAGGGCGCGUAGGCGGCUUGGCAAGUCGAAGGUGAAAUCCCCCGGCUCAACCGGGGAACUGCCUUCGAAACUGCUCGGCUAGAGUCCGGGAGAGGGUAGUGGAAUUCCCAGUGUAGCGGUGAAAUGCGUAGAUACUGGGAGGGACACCGGUGGCGAAGGCGGCUACCUGGACCGGUACUGACGCUGAGGCGCGAAAGCGUGGGGAGCAAACAGG
rnacentral:rRNA from 1 species